UUUUGUUAAUAUACAUGUAAUUUUAUGACUACUGUUUAAUAAUCUCACACUAAUGUAUUGUAAGAAUCCUCUGAAAUUUAUUUAAUGGUACCUUCACCCUGCUGCAUGUUAGAUCAGCUCUGUGUUUUAUUGUUUGAUUUCAGCACUUCUGGGGACCAGUUAUUAAUUGGGGUCUUCCCCUAGUCGCAGUCAGCGAUAUGAGGAAGAGCCCCGACAUCAUCAGCGGUCGAAUGACCUUCGCUCUUACCUGUUACUCAAUGAUAUUUAUGAGGUUCUCAUACCGAGUCCAGCCCCGAAACUGGCUCCUUUUUUCUUGCCACAUGGCCAAUGUGACGGCACAAGUGAUCCAGGGAGGCCGGCUCAUCCGACACAAAAUGCAGAACAAAAAUGCGAAAUGAGCCUUUCCAUGCAGUAGAUAAGAGCACAGACGGGUUCGUGCAGAUAAAGGCAAAUUGAGGAAGAUCUCUACCAGAUCCAUGCAUCAGAUCAAGAGAGCAGCUGCUAAAAUGCCAUUAUGUAGCAGCAAACAGAUAUUUGAAGCUGCUGGUGCCUCUGGAGUCCCAUGGACAUCAAGGUGUAGAGUCCUCCACUGCAACUGUGCAUAAACCUUCUAUUCUGCCACCACUAACCAGUGCUCACAAGCAGAAACUGUCCAAAUACACAAGUUUAAUGGAUGCAAGACUUGUGAAGCUGCUAUCAAAUAAGGGGUCCUAUGUCAAAAUGUGACGUGACCUGUUUGAUUUCAGUACAUAUGCUGCAAACACAACAAAUGACAAUUUUCAGUUCUUUGCAACUUAUAAAGUGUUUUGCAGCUUACUGUGCAUAAUAAUUUGGAACAGUUCAUUGUAAGUGUUUUGUUUGACAAAAAAAUACUGUAAUCAUUAGAUUUGUUCAAUAAAAUUUGAAUUGCACUCAAUAGUUGACAACAUGAGAAUUAUUCUGACUAUAUGUGUGUUCAUUUCUUGCAUUUUUCUUAUUAGGAAUCCACACGUAAGUAGGGGCAAUUCACUGCCCAUACAAAG